rnacentral:rRNA from 1 species
GUGAGGAAUAUUGGUCAAUGGGCGGGAGCCUGAACCAGCCAAGUCGCGUGAAGGAAGAAGGAUCUAUGGUUCGUAAACUUCUUUUGCAGGGGAAUAAAGUGCAGGACGUGUCCUGUUUUGUAUGUACCCUGAGAAUAAGGAUCGGCUAACUCCGUGCCAGCAGCCGCGGUAAUACGGAGGAUCCGAGCGUUAUCCGGAUUUAUUGGGUGUAAAGGGUGCGUAGGUGGUUUGAUAAGUCAGCGGUGAAAGUUUGCAGCUUAACUGUAAAAAUGCCGUUGAAACUGUCGGACUUGAGUGUAAAUGAGGUAGGCGGAAUGCGUGGUGUAGCGGUGAAAUGCAUAGAUAUCACGCAGAACUCCGAUUGCGAAGGCAGCUUACUAAGCUACAACUGACACUGAAGCACGAAAGCGUGGGGAUCAAACAGGAUUAGAAACCCGAGUAGUCC